rnacentral:lncRNA from 1 species
UGGAAUCUGAGAUGACCUCGUGACUUGCUAUGGUCAACAGCACUGGCAGAAGUGACACUGGACCAGUUGAGACGGAGUCUCAAGAGGCCUUGCGUGCCUUCACCCUCUCUUGGAAUGCUGGCCAGCCGCCAUGUAGACAAGCUUGUCCUGGCCUGCUGAAGGGUAAGAGACCACUACAGCAGAGAUGAGCCAUCCCAGCUCCGGCCAGCCAGGCCCCAGCUGGCCCAGCAGCUGAUUGCAGACACAUGAGCAAGCCUAGCUGGGAUCAGAAACAUGUCCAGCCGAGCUUGGCCCAGAUAGUAGGGAGAACACAUCGCUGUUGUUCCAAGCCACUGCGGCAGGAUGAAUAAUAUACUACCCUCCUCCUCCGCCAAAACCCGAUGGCCUGUCCUAAUCCUCAGAACUUGUGAGGAUGUGCCUUCUACAGUCAAAGGGACUCUGCAAUCCGAUCAAGUCAAGGACCUUGAGAUGAGGAGACUAUCCAGGUGUCUGCAAGGACAUUUCUGGAGCAGGGUUUCUGAGUGCCGGGAAUUUGGAGGCAGGUUGUCUCGGCGGCCCUGGCUCACGGUCUCUGAUCAGGCUGCAGUCAAGUUGUAAGCCGGAGCAGCAGUCUUUGGAAGAUGCCAGAGGAUCCGUUUCCAAGCUUGCUCAGCACCGGCAGCAUUACUACCGUGACGGAGUGGACUCCACUGGCUUUGUGAAUCUGGGACCACACUUUCUGAUGCAACAACCUGGGCUUCUCAGUGUGGGGCUCUCUGGGUCUGGUUCUACUGGCUGCUCCGUCUAGGGACACAGGAAACUCCAAAGGGGUCCAGCACACCACCUGAUGCCCGGCCACGUUGCUUCAACGCCGUUCACCAAGAACACAAAGGCUUGUGGGGAAAUGUGGCUACUAAAUGCCAUGCAUUUUUGAUGUCCAACAGUUUUUCUUACAAGGAUUGUUUGCUGCUGGCAAAACUUGGCAUUAGUCCUGGAAUCCAGGUGUGCUGGGGCCGGUGGAGGGAGAGAUCCACCUCCUGAGUGAAGAGAGGGAAGUCCAGAGGGCGUCUCUGGUUCGUUCGUUCGUCUUGGGGAAGCCUCAGCUGAACGGCCACCACGGUUUCUGCUGCACAUUAGCUGGUGCAGACAGAAAGGGAAGCGCUCAAAAAUAUUUGAGAACUUAGGAAUUUGCCUCAGGUUCAUUUCUUGUUUCUGCAGGCAAAAGAAACCAAUUUGAGCCAGUUGAAAGGGAAAAGGGAAUUCACUGCAAAGAUGCUGGGGUUUCUCAAGGAAUUCAAGGAGGAGUUGAGCAGGCAGGUUUGGGGACCUCUCUUCUGGGCAGCUGUCACUGACAAGGCUCGGCU